rnacentral:sRNA from 1 species
UUGAUAGCCAUGCAAGGGAAGUGCUUAAUCCACUGAGCAGAUCCAUCACAGGCAGCGGCGGUUCAAGGUUCCCCACACUGCUCUGCCACCGUGCCUGAAACAUGCCUGGUCACCAUGGUAGAGGGGGUUAUUUAGUCUCCACACCUGUACAGUUCUUGGACUUU